GAUGAACGCUGGCGGCGUGCUUAACACAUGCAAGUCGAACGGUGAAGCCAAGCUUGCUUGGUGGAUCAGUGGCGAACGGGUGAGUAACACGUGAGCAACCUGCCCUGGACUCUGGGAUAAGCGCUGGAAACGGCGUCUAAUACUGGAUAUGAGCCUCUUCCGCAUGGUGGGGGUCGGAAAGAUUUUUUGGUCUGGGAUGGGCUCGCGGCCUAUCAGCUUGUUGGUGAGGUAAUGGCUCACCAAGGCGUGGACGGGUAGCCGGCCUGAGAGGGUGACCGGCCACACUGGGACUGAGACACGGCCCAGACUCCUACGGGAGGCAGCAGUGGGGAAUAUUGCACAAUGGGCGAAAGCCUGAUGCAGCAACGCCGCGUGAGGGAUGACGGCCUUCGGGUUGUAAACCUCUUUUAGCAGGGAAGAAGCGAAAGUGACGGUACCUGCAGAAAAAGCGCCGGCUAACUACGUG
rnacentral:rRNA from 1 species